rnacentral:lncRNA from 1 species
UCUAUCACAAAGACUGGUCAGUUUCUUAAUUGUUGAGAGUUAUUAUUGUUGGCAUUAUCAUGGAUAUCCCACAAAAUCAGCAUUCAUAACAAUGAUUCAACUUUGUAUCUUUGAAUUUAUUGCUCCAGCUCAUGUAAUCUAGAUGCCUCGGACAUCAAAUUCUUUUGUAUAUAUACACUUGUGUAACAGCUUUGUAUAUAGUAAAAAUCAGCUUUCUACUAGAGAUAUAAUCUGUAACAGCGCCGUUAAAUAGGUGAAGGAUUGGAGUGCCAUGAUGUUUUAUGGCGGUGGCAGAUUUUCGGACCACUGCAGUGGCCAAUAGGUGAAGGAACGCGGUGCCAUGAUAUUUUAUUGCAGAUUUUUGGCUUUCUACUAUCGAUAACAUUGAUCUAUAGUAAAAAUUUAUGAUGUUGUCGGAUAAAGUUCUAUUGUCGGCUGCUGGUUGGAUACGUCUAUUUUCUAUAAAUUCAAUUGAUCUUCAUAUAUAGAUCGCAUUUUAGAAAAUGUGUUGACCUUCUACAGAACAGUUCAACAAUAGUGUUGUGUUUAAUAGCGGUCUUCAUUACUUAAUUCUUGUACCCAAAUUAACUUCUAGGAAAUAGAGGAGAAAAUUUAACGAAGCACCCUAGUUUGCAAUCAUAUGUACCAUUUGGUUUCGCUGGUCAUCCAUGGAUGAUGUUGGCAUUCUGCUCAGAAAAUGUUCUGGUGGCAUAUGUCGAGAAUAAGGAGCCGGAGGAGGUCUUGGAACCAUUUUCUUUGCCCUUCCCGUUGCACGACUUUUGUCCAUAGAGCAAAGAAGGAAGAAAAUAAAAAACAAAUAUGAUUAAUCAUCAACAGCAAAUUUUAACAAAUAGUUGCCUGAAAGAAAACCACCUAAUGAAAAGCUACCGAGUGUAUUAAAACUCACCCAAGUAAUCCGAGCUCAAGAGCUGCUUUAUAUUGGAAAGGUAUCUCCAUAAGAGCAGCCAGAGCAAAAGCAGCUUCUUUUGCAGAAGGGCUUAUUUUCUUAGACAUAAUGUCGGUGAAGUUAACAAACUGCAUAAAACAAGAAAGAUGCUUUAAUAUUUUUAACUAGGUGAUUGCAAACAAUGUAACUAAGUAAUGUAACUACUAUGCUAAUUUGCUGUAACCUGAAAAUUGUCGAAAUCGCGUGCAGGUAACUUGUCAUCAAACUUUUUCAUAUCUUCCCAAGGUCCAUCACCAACUCCAACCAGAACAAUAGAAAGAGGAUAUGAACUGAAAGCACAAAAAGUAUAAAACAGAUAAUUAAUGUUUGAUUAAGCAGUUGGCGCUGGUUCGUUUUUAUAGUUAACGAUACUUCUGUUAUCGUUAUUUAUAGCUAAUGCUAACUUCCAUUUUUGUUGAUAAUUCCUUUUUUUCCUAGAGCGGAUUCAUUUUACUGCAAAUGAUCUUGAUGAGCAUUUAAGGUUGCUUAUAAUUAUCAAUUUUGCAUAUUUACCUUGCAUCAGCGAUUGCUUUUAUUGUUUUCUCUUCUUGAGGACUAAGUUUCCCA